rnacentral:rRNA from 1 species
UAAGACGUAGGGCGCGAGCGUUGUCCGGAUUUAUUGGGCGUAAAGAGCUCGUAGGCGGCUUGUCGCGUCGUCCGUGAAAACUUGGGGCUCAACUCCAAGCUUGCGGUCGAUACGGGCAGGCUAGAGUUCGGUAGGGGAGACUGGAAUUCCUGGUGUAGCGGUGAAAUGCGCAGAUAUCAGGAGGAACACCGGUGGCGAAGGCGGGUCUCUGGGCCGAUACUGACGCUGAGGAGC